rnacentral:rRNA from 1 species
CCCUUAGAUGUUCUGGGCUGCACGCGCGCUACACUGAUAUUGCCAAUAUGUCAUUCUUAUCCGAAAUGGAUUGGGUAAUCAAGUAAUGAAAUUUCAUGCUUGGAAUCGGUAAUUGCAAUUUUAUCGUGAACGAGGAAUUCCUAGUAAGCACUAGUCAUCAGCUAAUGUUGAUUAUGUCCCUGCCCUUUGUACACACCGCCCGUCGCUACUACUGAUUGGGUGUUCAAGUGAGAUGCUUAGACCCUUGCUGCAUGGUUCAUUAUUGUGCUCCGAAAGGAAAAAGUUUCAAGCUUGAGUGUCUAGAGGAAGUAAAAGUCGUAACA